GAGCAGAACAAUGGAUUGUAAUAUUUAAGAUCUGUGGUAUCUAUAUAUAUCUAGUAUCAUUAUAAAUAUUAAAAAACAGGCAUAGGUAGACACUAGGUAGUUGCCAUUAUUGUAGAAACUCUACUGGUACCUGCCAUGUAAUUUUAUAAGGUUGUGUGCCCAAUAAUUUGUUAGCUCCGCUGUUAAUUAGUGUUGUGGAAAUAGUUUCGUGUGCCCCCCUCCCUUUGUUACUGCAAGUGACUGAAUACCACACAUCUAGUUCCCAGUCAAACAACUACAAGCAAUCUACCCCCUCUGUUGUACAGUUUUUUGGAACUUGCAGCCAUAGUCUGCAAAUACUGUUUGUUGUGUACUAGAGAUAUUAUGGUUCAUUGUUGCUAGUGCCUCACACAACUGUGUAGAAACAUUGUCUCAUGAAUCAGUUGCCCUCUAUAAUAAGACUCGUGAUUUGGCCGCCCAACGUUUAGAGGGCGGCUGAAAUAUGAGACUAGCAGAAGUGCAGUGGCCACUACUGCUGAGUCAGCAAAACGAAAAGCAAUUUGGCCUGGAAUGUCAUUAAAAGGUCAUAAUUAGUGAAAGUUCAAGUGAUGUCCGACCUCCUCUGGUUUCAAGAGGCAACCACAGAGGAGGUACGACACGCGAUUAAGCUCACGUGGCUGCUAUUUCUUGAUUGAAGGCAAAAAAGACAAAGAAGUCGUUACAAAUGCAUUCCAAUGACGACAUUCAACUGGUGGCAAGUAAGCGCCAUAAAGAGACAAGUUUAGAGCAUAAAACUCAGUGAAUUUGUUGCUGGCUAGUAGCUAGAGUUUUACAAGUAGAGAUUAGAUUUGUUGUAACAACCAAGGCUCAGAUGUUGGCAGUGAUCCUAUUCUGAAUGCAGGCACAGAAUACUUAUUAAACACUCUAAAACAGAAUUAAACUAAAAACAAUAAUAUCUCAAAAUCUAAGUGGUGGUUGAAACUGGUUGAAAAGCUAUUUCACAUCCGUAUAAGCCCAGCAAUGAACCAUCCUGAUCUUAGAAACGUCAAGUUUAUUUCUUGAAAGAUACACGCCAAACCAAAUCCACUAUCAAAGUACACAGUCUUGAAUGAUAUUCAUGCACAAGUUAAUGAGAUUCAUAAUCCUUUUGGCUUGUCAUGUGACCGUGUCGUACCUCCUCUGAGGCAACCAGAGCAGAGGAGGUUGGACAGUAUCACGUGCAACAAUCUAGAUUGUCACAUGACCUCUUACUUUUACCUUGUUUUGAUGGUACAUUUCAUAGCUAAGAAACUGUGUAGUUUGUAGCUGUUUUUAGCUAUUGGUCAAAGAGAGGAGGUCAAACUACACUGAUAUCCAUCGCCAACCCUGUUCAACCCCAUAUUAACGAAGCCAGGAAAUUGCGUUGAAGUAUGGAAGAGCUGACGAAGGCAGAGGGUACUCCCGAGGACGCAACGAUGGAUGUUCCUUUACUGACGUUAAAGGAGACAUUUAUGGAUGGCGAAAAGUGACCCUCAUGUUUUGGACAUGGGCCUAUUUAUUGCUGUAUAAUUGUGCAUCGACAAAAGAGGUUGAUCUGAUUGAAGGUGAUCUUACAGAUUUCAGCAUUGGUGCAAAAGAGACCAACGUAGCCGUCCCCACCCGAAGCAAGAUAACACUUAAACAAGCAGUUUCACAAACACCCUGUGACUGUGGAGCUACCACCUUAGUCUCGCGGACCUAGACCCCUGAUAGUAUAUUGGCUGGUCCACGAGACUACUACCACCUCCUCCUGCUAGACCUUCAAGAACUCUCAUAAUGUCAACUCAUAUUGUGUACUCAAUAAUAUUAUUCUACUGAUAUAUCUGCUCACUCUAUAACUAAGAGUGAUGUGCUUGAAAGAUCUACAAGAAACAGCCAUCUCUCUUGUAUCCAUGUAGCCUCAAUUCCAAGCCGCCGUGGAUCGAGGCUAGUAUCAAUGCAGCAAUGCAGCAGAGCCAGAGCAGCAGAGCUCCUAGCCUCGAAUCCAGGCCGUAUUUUAAUCGGCCUGGUCUCGAGGCUACAGAGCUCCAGACUCUGGCACCUCUGGCAGAGCUCUGUCAAUGCAGUGUGCUUAGUUGAGGUGCACGUGAUACUGUCCAACCUGUUACUACUCUUAUCUAUGGAUAUGGAUGAAGAUAGCCACGAUGGAGAACUAGAUGAUAGCGAAGAUUCUGAAGAUGAGACACUUACUAAAACACCUCCAGUUUCAUUAAACUUGAAG